AACACUUUACACUGCAUUUGCUUGCAGUAAUAAAACCUGCAUAAACUUGACAUUCCCGAGAGAAGACAUCUGGCUUCCGAGAGCUUGGGUUUUCUUCUAAACUGCCCACGAACACUUCACAAGCGAAAGAUCUUCACAUCAGCGUGUUCCAUUUCCUGGUUUACGUUUAAGAUAUGAUCAGAACCCAAAUGCAGACUACUGUACAUGUAACCGAUCAUUUUCCGUCUGAUCCGAUUCUCUAUUGCAGUUCGGUCACAUGGUGCCAGCAUGUCACUUCCUGCCUCAACAUCGUCCUGAAGUCCUCUGGCACUGACGCCACCCUGCACACUGUUCAUCGAGUACGAAAGUUCAGCGACUGAUCGUUGGCUUGUAGUGACAUCAUCAUAUCCUGGACUGCAAGUUUUAACUCAUGGACCAGAUUCCGAGUUCAGAAUGUGAUCAGAUAUUGGCGGAUGUUCUCCAGAGCUAUGCUGUGUUUGAAUCGUAGAGACGCUUUAGAAUCAGCACAACUACAGUUGCUCAGAGAAGUGAAAGGCCCAGGGAUGUGUGUGUGUGUGUGUGUGUGUGUGUGUGUGUGUGUGUGUGUGUGUGUGUGUGUGUGUGUUACAGGCCUCCUUCAGGCAGUGAAAGCCAGCAGAUGGAGAGGCUGAAAACAUGCAGACAAUCAGAUCGACAGCAGAAUGAACACAGGAAUGAAAAAUGAAUUGAUUGAAAACUGUUGACAGCUGUGAUGGAGGACGUGAUUGGUCGGAAGUGGACAUGAUUGGUCUGGGGUGGACAUGAUUGGUCGAUGGAGGACGUGAUUGGUCAGAGGUGGACGUGAUUAGUUCAAGGUAUCGUAAAAACACAGCUCUACCUGAACGAGACUUGGUAUUGAAUGAGAACGCUACUGAUUCUGUACAAGCUGAAAGAACAAACUGGUUCAGGAAUAAAGUGGAAAUUAUCUGUUGUGAAAGAAACAAGUCAGAGAUGAAGAGGUUCAGAAGAAGAAGGAGGAACCAUGCUAUAAAGAGACUGUAUCACUGAAGAGGUUUUUUUUGCAUGAAACAAUUUACAAAUAUAUAAAGACGGAUGAUUAUUUAAGAUAAUAAACAUGACGUCCACUGAAA